UCGGGUAUGGUGAAGCGGUAACAUCGUUGACUCUCGAGACUUCUCAGAAGUGUCUGUUUCUCUCUCAACAGCCCCGGGUUCGACUCCCGGUAUCCGAG
rnacentral:tRNA from 1 species